UGUCCAAUGCGGGAAUCGAACCCGGGUCGUAGUGGUCGAAAACCAAACGGUUUAACCAGCUGACCCUC